AAUCACAAUAUUAUGAGUAAUUUCGUGUCCUUUUCGCAAGUUUCAGUAUUUGUAUGAAUGUAUUAUGCAUAAAUAUGUGUACAUUAAAGAGGGCUGCACUCUUAGAAAACUGGUAUUUAUGUAUUCAUUACUGCCCGGCGUGUAUAUGCACUCUUAAGAAAAUCAGUAAAUCGCGGCAUUGAUAUGUGACUUUAAUACAGCCGUGGGGAUGAUUUGAAUCUAUACCAGGGCAGUACAACCGUUUAAUACCAAAGCGGUAAAGUGGGGCACAUUUUUUUGAUACCCAGUUUCUAAGAGUGUGUGAUUCUACCGGCUCACCGUGGUCGUACCACUUAUCCCAGGAGAUGAGGGUGAAUUGAAGGGGACGUUGCACAAAGUGACGCAUCCGUUCGUCGAUGUGACCCCACACUUGCCAAGUUGGCAUGAAACCUUCCAGCUGAAGAUGGAAUGUCCUGGAGUGAAAAUUAGCAAGGAGCAGGUCGCGGUAAGGAUAAAUAUUUCAUGGUGAAAAUAUCUUUUACAUUUUCUUAAGCCGAGUACGGAGGACGUCAUUUCACGAGUGAAAUCGAAGACAGUGAACUGCGUGCAAUUUUGACAAAAUUUCAGGAUCCUCAAAAAAUUGGUUUUUUUACAAGGCUUGUAUCGUGAAAUCGACCCCCUAUUUUCACCAGCACCCUCGAUUUGGGAAACCAGGAGAAAUACUUGUACGAUACCUUCAAUUUUUGUAAACGCGGCUCAUUCAGAUAUCCCUCGAAAUCCCUAACUUCCUGCCGGACGAGGUACAAGUAAAGACCGUGGGUGACGAGUUGAUCAUCUUGGGAAGUCGGCACGAUGAUGGCGAGGAU